rnacentral:rRNA from 1 species
AGGAAUAUUGGUCAAUGGGCGCAGGCCUGAACCAGCCAAGUAGCGUGAAGGAUGACUGCCCUAUGGGUUGUAAACUUCUUUUAUAAAGGAAUAAAGUCGGGUAUGUAUACCCGUUUGCAUGUACUUUAUGAAUAAGGAUCGGCUAACUCCGUGCCAGCAGCCGCGGUAAUACGGAGGAUCCGAGCGUUAUCCGGAUUUAUUGGGUUUAAAGGGAGCGUAGAUGGAUGUUUAAGUCAGUUGUGAAAGUUUGCGGCUCAACCGUAAAAUUGCAGUUGAUACUGGAUAUCUUGAGUGCAGUUGAGGCAGGCGGAAUUCGUGGUGUAGCGGUGAAAUGCUUAGAUAUCACGAAGAACUCCGAUUGCGAAGGCAGCCUGCUAAGCUGCAACUGACAUUGAGGCUCGAAAGUGUGGGUAUCAAACAGGAUUAGAUACCCUGGUAGUCCACACGGUAAACGAUGAAUACUCGCUGUUUGCGAUAUACUGCAAGCGGCCAAGUGAAAGCGUUAAGUAUUCCACCUGGGGAGUACGCCGGCAACGGUGAAACUCAAAGGAAUUGACGGGGGCCCGCACAAGCGGAGGAACAUGUGGUUUAAUUCGAUGAUACGCGAGGAACCUUACCCGGGCUUAAAUUGCAGAUGAAUUACGGUGAAAGCCGUAAGCCGCAAGGCAUCUGUGAAGGUGCUGCAUGGUUGUCGUCAGCUCGUGCCGUGAGGUGUCGGCUUAAGUGCCAUAACGAGCGCAACCCUUGUUGUCAGUUACUAACAGGUUCCGCUGAGGACUCUGACAAGACUGCCAUCGUAAGAUGUGAGGAAGGUGGGGAUGACGUCAAAUCAGCACGGCCCUUACGUCCGGGGCUACACACGUGUUACAAUGGGGGGUACAGAGGGCCGCUACCACGCGAGUGGAUGCCAAUCCCCAAAACCUCUCUCAGUUCGGACUGGAGUCUGCAACCCGACUCCACGAAGCUGGAUUCGCUAGUAAUCGCGCAUCAGCCACGGCGCGGUGAAUACGUUCCCG